GGACUAUCUCUGACCAAAAUUAUUAGGGUUCUGGGAACAUCCUUCUAAUUUGCCCAAUAUUUUCUUUUUUAAUAGGUAAAACAAAACUACUGACUUGAUUCUACCAACAUCAUUACCUCCGUAAUGAAAAAUAAUAACAUGCGGCCAUGGAAAUUCAUUAUAACAUUCUUGUAACACAUUAAGAACAUCUCCCUUAUUAAACCUCUUACACCAACCCAAAAAUAUUUAAACAGU